CAUAACGACUCUCGGCAACGGAUAUCUCGGCUCUCGCAUCGAUGAAGAACGUAGCGAAAUGCGAUACUUGGUGUGAAUUGCAGAAUCCCGUGAACCAUCGAGUCUUUGAACGCAAGUUGCGCCCGAAGCCAUUACCAGAGGGCACGUCUGCCUGGGCGUACGC
rnacentral:rRNA from 1 species